rnacentral:rRNA from 1 species
ACGAACGCUGGCGGCGUGCUUAACACAUGCAAGUCGAACGGAAAGGCCCUUCGGGGUACUCGAGUGGCGAACGGGUGAGUAACACGUGGGUGAUCUGCCUCGUACUUUGGGAUAAGCCUGGGAAACUGGGUCUAAUACCGAAUAUGACCUUCCCUCGCAUGGGGGUUGGUGGAAACUUUUUGGGUACGAGAUGGGCCCGCGGCCUAUCAGCUUGUUGGUGGGGUAAUGGCCUACCAAGGCGACGACGGGUAGCCGGCCUGAGAGGGCGACCGGCCACACUGGGACUGAGACACGGCCCAGACUCCUACGGGAGGCAGCAGUGGGGAAUAUUGCACAAUGGGCGCAAGCCUGAUGCAGCGACGCCGCGUGAGGGAUGACGGCCUUCGGGUUGUAAACCUCUUUCACCAGGGACGAAGAGAAAUUGACGGUACCUGGAGAAGAAGCACCGGCCAACUACGU